UACGGAGGUGGCAAGCGUUGCUCGGAAUCACUGGGCGUAAAGGGCGCGUAGGCGGGGAGGUAAGUCGGGUGUGAAAUCCCUCGGCCCAACCGAGGAACUGCGCCCGAGACUGCUUCUCUUGAGUCCCGGAGAGGAAGAUGGAAUUCCCGGUGUAGCGGUGAAAUGUGUAGAGAUCGGGAGGAAUACCGAUGGCGAAGGCAGGUCUCUGGGCUGACACUGACGCUCAUGCACGAAAGCGUGGGGAGCAAACAGG
rnacentral:rRNA from 1 species